AGACCAUGAUAUGGAUAUUUCCUUUGCAAUUCUUUAAACCUCUCCUAGGCUUUAUACAAAAAUUUACCGUCAAACUGAACAAAACUGGUUCUAUCAUUUCUAAGUUU